CCCUUAGAUGUUCUGGGCUGCACGCGUGCUACACUGAUAUUGCCAAUAUGUCAUUCUUAUCCGAAAUGGAUUGGGUAAUCAAGUAAUGAAAUUUCAUGCUUGGAAUCGGUAAUUGCAAUUUUAUCGUGAACGAGGAAUUCCUAGUAAGCACUAGUCAUCAGCUAAUGUUGAUUAUGUCCCUGCCCUUUGUACACACCGCCCGUCGCUACUACUGAUUGGGUGUUCAAGUGAGAUGCUUAGACCCUUGUUGCAUGGUUCAUUAUUGUGCUCCGAAAGGAAAAAGUUUCAAGUUUGAGUGUCUAGAGGAAGUAAAAGUCGUAACA
rnacentral:rRNA from 1 species